GAUGAACGCUGGCGGCGUGCCUAAUACAUGCAAGUCGAGCGAACGGACGAGAAGCUUGCUUCUCUGAUGUUAGCGGCGGACGGGUGAGUAACACGUGGAUAACCUACCUAUAAGACUGGGAUAACUUCGGGAAACCGGAGCUAAUACCGGAUAAUAUUUUGAACCGCAUGGUUCAAAAGUGAAAGACGGUCUUGCUGUCACUUAUAGAUGGAUCCGCGCUGCAUUAGCUAGUUGGUAAGGUAACGGCUUACCAAGGCAACGAUGCAUAGCCGACCUGAGAGGGUGAUCGGCCACACUGGAACUGAGACACGGUCCAGACUCCUACGGGAGGCAGCAGUAGGGAAUCUUCCGCAAUGGGCGAAAGCCUGACGGAGCAACGCCGCGUGAGUGAUGAAGGUCUUCGGAUCGUAAAACUCUGUUAUUAGGGAAGAACAUAUGUGUAAGUAACUGUGCACAUCUUGACGGUACCUAAUCAGAAAGCCACGGCUAACUACGUGCCAGCAGCCGCGGUAAUACGUAGGUGGCAAGCGUUAUCCGGAAUUAUUGGGCGUAAAGCGCGCGUAGGCGGUUUUUUAAGUCUGAUGUGAAAGCCCACGGCUCAACCGUGGAGGGUCAUUGGAAACUGGAAAACUUGAGUGCAGAAGAGGAAAGUGGAAUUCCAUGUGUAGCGGUGAAAUGCGCAGAGAUAUGGAGGAACACCAGUGGCGAAGGCGACUUUCUGGUCUGUAACUGACGCUGAUGUGCGAAAGCGUGGGGAUCAAACAGGAUUAGAUACCCUGGUAGUCCACGCCGUAAACGAUGAGUGCUAAGUGUUAGGGGGUUUCCGCCCCUUAGUGCUGCAGCUAACGCAUUAAGCACUCCGCCUGGGGAGUACGACCGCAAGGUUGAAACUCAAAGGAAUUGACGGGGACCCGCACAAGCGGUGGAGCAUGUGGUUUAAUUCGAAGCAACGCGAAGAACCUUACCAAAUCUUGACAUCCUUUGACAACUCUAGAGAUAGAGCUUUUCCCUUCGGGGGACAAAGUGACAGGUGGUGCAUGGUUGUCGUCAGCUCGUGUCGUGAGAUGUUGGGUUAAGUCCCGCAACGAGCGCAACCCUUAAGCUUAGUUGCCAUCAUUAAGUUGGGCACUCUAAGUUGACUGCCGGUGACAAACCGGAGGAAGGUGGGGAUGACGUCAAAUCAUCAUGCCCCUUAUGAUUUGGGCUACACACGUGCUACAAUGGACAAUACAAAGGGCAGCGAAACCGCGAGGUCAAGCAAAUCCCAUAAAGUUGUUCUCAGUUCGGAUUGUAGUCUGCAACUCGACUACAUGAAGCUGGAAUCGCUAGUAAUCGUAGAUCAGCAUGCUACGGUGAAUACGUUCCCGGGUCU
rnacentral:rRNA from 1 species